AUCAUGACCUGAGCCAAAGGCAGACCCCUCACCAACUGAGCCAUCCAGGUGCCCCAAGAAUGCUUCUUUCUUGUGAAUCACUAAGACAUUUGUAAACUGAGGGAGACUCCCGUCUUGCAGGACUGUAAUCUCUAUAAGUUAACCAUUUAUUUUCCUUCCCUUAGCUUCAGAGCAGCCACAAGUGCCUCAGGAAUGUCACACAUAUCCCACCUGGGAGUCGGGGUGGGGGCUGAGGGGUUUGCGGGGUGUCAGUUUGUUCUUUGUCCUCAGCUUGCCUUCUGCUCCCUCAUCACUCCUCCAGUGAUUUCCCACGUUGGAGCAAAAUCCACAGUUCCUUUCUUCCAAGGCCUUCUAGCCCCUAUGUGAUCCACGCACCUCCAUCUCCUGCCACUGUCCUCCUUGCUUCCUCUCUCCCAGCUACACCAACUUUUUGUCCUUAGUCUGACCUGCCCAGCCUGUGCCUGCUGUCCCUUCUGCUGGACUACUCUUCCUCCUGAGACUGCGAUGGCGCAUGCACGCAGCAUUUUAUCAGUGCCAAGCCAUUCCUGACCAUUCUAUGUAAAAUCCAUACCUUCUUUCCUGCUUCCUGCAUUAUUAUUCUCCUUAGUACUUCUCACUACUUGACAGAUUCACUCAUUUAUCCAUUCAUUGUCACGUUCACCAUGACUAUAGAAGUCAGCUCCAAUGGAAAACCUUUAUUUUGUUCCAUACUGUAUGCUCGGGGCAUAAAAUGUGGCCCAUAGGAGGCACUCUCUUUUUCUCUUUAUUGAGGCGUAAUUUACAUAACAAUGAAGGUCGCGGAUUUACAGUGAGUAUACACUUCCGUUGAGUCUGAACAAACGUAUGUAACCAUGUAAUCACUGAUGUGGGAAACGAAGGCAAAAGGAAAUAUUAAAUUUUCUUACUACUUACAGCCCAUUGACAGGUCCUUGAAACAGAGCGACCUUCCUCUAGGAGCUCAGCUGCCUUGAUGGGGACAGCUUUGCCAAGGGCCGAAGCUGCGGCCCUGUGGCGUUGGCACUCCCCCGGCCUGGAGGCCUGGAGGAAGUAAGAAGAGAGCGAGGGCUCACUGAACACGGGCCUGCUUCCCUGCAUUGUUACGACUGGCCUUCCGAGGCCAAAAACCACAGGGAGGGGAAGGGGUGACCCUUCCAACUGUCCUUCCCCGGCUCUUGGCCUGCAAGCUGCUGUCCUCAUCAGCCAGGCUCAGAAAUAGAUGUAAGAAAGAACAAUCGGAACCCAGAUCUUCACUGUUUCAAAGGUGAAAUAGCACAUUGGAUGAUAUUCCAGGAGACCUGUAUUUUUUUUUUAAUAUUCACCCACAGAAUCUGAAAAAUCCUUAAAGCUGAAAUAAUCUGUAAUUUUUUAGUAACCAGGAGGGGACCAGAAUUAACAUAACACUGACAAGGGAUUUGCAUCCCUAUUAAUUUAAUUACCUCCGUGCAAGCAGCUGUUUAGCGCGUCCUUUCCCAACAGCGAGACCAUCCUUCCUUUUGAGAAGUAUCUGGUGUGACAUCUUCCCUAUUAUUUUUAGCUUUGCAACGAAGAGGAAUAUGAUUAAGGGGUAUGGCCAGAAGGAGAAAUAAAAUUCAUUUCCAGGAUCAGCAAACCUUUAAUUUCAGACUCAAGGAGAAACCAGUGAGGCUCAGGUGGCCGUCUGCGGGGUAAUCCUCAUCGCCUUCUCUUACACAGAACUCCAGGGAGCAUUUCUCCGUCCUUUCUCCCCGCGUUUAACAAAGGAAGGCACGCUGCACUGCACGUGAGAUCCUCAAAUCCCCCUUCCUGAUCCCUGUUGAGGAGGUGAGGCUGAGAGGGAGUAAAACAUCUAUCUGUGUGAUGAGGUCACGGAAUACAGGUGAGGUUCAGUGGGGUGGGGUCCGGAGCCGGCGACCAAGAAAAAAUGCUUGAGGCGUCUUUGGUGCAAAAUUGGUGGUUUAUUUAAGCACGGGGACAGGACCCGUGGGCAGAAAGAGCUGCUGCCCCGGGGUUGUGAGGGGUGGCUGAUUAUAUACUAUGGGGUUGGGGGAGGUAAGAGAAAAGGGAGGUUGCGAUAAUACUUUCAUGUGUUAAAGAACACUCGCAGGAUACUGGAGGCCUUGCCAUUGUUUUCCCUCUAGCAAGACAUUAACAUGAAGAUGGCUGGGAACUUCCUGGAGGCUGCAGAUUAUAAGGACAUUUCAUUGUAUCCACAUUCCCUUCCGGAAGCUAGGUUAUUGGUAGAAAUGCUUGGUUCUUGUCAACUGCUAAGACGUUGGGAAACUGAGGGAGACUUCAGUCUUGCAGGAUUGUGGUACCUAUAGGUUAACUAUUUCUUUGUCCUUUAGGGCAGCCAGGAGUGCCUGAGGAAUGUCACGUACACCCCCUGGUGGGGGGGGUUGCGGGGUGUCAGUUUCUGCUUUGUCCUCAGCUAGCCUUCUGUUCCCUCAUCCUGUGGGCCUGUGGGAGCGCUUCGAUAUUAGGGAUCGAUAAGGGAAGCAAUUGGCUCUUUUGACAGUGCUAAUCUAACUUUAGAAGGCCCACAUUUUUAGUAAAAACAUCUUCUAUAUGGGGCGCCUGGGUGGCUCAGUCGGUGAAGCGUCUGCCUUCGGCUCAGGUCAUGACCCCAGCAUCCUGGGAUCGAGCCCCACAUCCAGCUCCCUGAUCCACGGGGAGUGGGGAGUCUGCUUCUCCCUCUCCUCCCCUUGCUCCUGCUCUCUCUAUCUCUGUCUCUCUUUCUCAAAUGAAUAAAUAAAAUUUAAAAAUAAUAAUAAAUAGUAAAUGUUAACCAACUCCAACAGCCACCUGUGGCCGGCAGCUACCGCAGGGGAUGGCAGAACUCUGGGAUACUGAGAGCCUAAACAGAUGGAAAAUACCAGGUUCGCUUUGAGCACGAGGAGCCUUACAUUGUCCCUGUUUAGUACCCUGUCCCCGGUACUGCAGGUCACACUUCGUUCUGGGACGGGGUGCCCUCUACUGUCUCCAGGAUGACAGUUCUGAAAUGUUCUCCAUGGGGGCAUCUUCAGGCGACAGUCCACUCUGCAAACCCUGCACAUUAGCCCAGAACUAACUUGUCACCAGAUGGGCCGUAUUUAAGUGUGAUGCUUCAGACUGGAUUCAAGCAGAACAGGAACCCAGGAGACAAUUACAGCUUUCUGUCUUGGCGGUGAGAGGAACACAAACCAUUCUGGGUUCUGGAUGCACCAUUGUUUCUGCUAAGCCUUUUCUUCCUGGGGGGGUGAUGUCCUCAGGCCUCGCUAGGAGCGGACGCCUAGCCUUCCCUUUUACACUCUGUGUUACGGUACAGAUGGCCAGGACCCUGGAGACGCGCGGGUCUGAGGCAGAGGUGGGCAAAAUGGCAGAUGAGCUUAAGUUCCAGGAAGCGUGGACAUCUGACAAAGGGUCUUACUUAUUUAUUUGUUUGUUUGUUUUAGAGUGGGGGUGGGGAGAGGAGCAGAGGAACAGGGACAAGCGGGCCCUGUGCUCCAUCCAUGACCCUGAGAUCCUGACCCGAGCUGAAAUCAAGAGUUGGAGGCUUAACCGGCUGAGCCCCCCAGGGGCCCCAUCGAAAGAAGAAUCUUGAGAGGAUCCGAACCAUUUUACAGAGAAAAGCAGAGUAUGACAACACGGGUUGCCUUCAACUCAAAAGGCCAAAGGACCAAAUCCAAUGUGGAAGCACGUAGAGCAAGAAGGAUUUGUAGCUUGUUUCUGCAGAAACUGAGAGACAUUGUAGGUGGGUCGCAGGCUUGGGGCCUGAGCUUCCAACCUGGGCCAUCAUGAUACAGUUAACAGGUGUAGAUUUAAUUAGGUGUUCAGGACGCAGAAUGAAUGUAUCAAGGGCUACUUAACUCAUUUCCAUGAAUAUGUAUUGCUUCUACGCACGGGGCACCUGCAGUGCACGGGGGUGGGAACCGGAUCAGAUCUGCCGGCCCACACAGCACAGGCAGGGGGCCUGCUGGCUGGCUGUGGGAGCGCUGGGCCAGGCAGGAGAAAGACAGUGCCGGGAAACCACCGGAGAACCACCACCUCCGCCUCUCCGAUCGGCAUAGAUGGGACCCUGCCCUCAAGUCGGGAAGGUUGGCUCUCACCCCGGGUCUGGAGGUUAACCCAGACUGAUUGGACCUAAGCAGGACAGCUCAUUCCAUUUGCCGGAUGAUUUUGUAAGUGAUGCAAUCCUGGCCUCUGGGCUGUGAGGGAGGCUUCCGGGAAUAGGUUCUUUGCUCUGCGAGAGAUGCCAGCGGGUGGAGGCCGGCCUGCACACAAUCUCUAGAGCUGGAGUGGCCGAGAAGCCUUGGGAGCUGAGGACAUCUCGCCUGCGCCGAGCCUCCGUGCUGAGCAGGGCAGGGUCGAGAGAUGGAGAGAACCCGAGUCCUUGGGGUGCAGCGUGAGCCGACGCCGGAUGGCCCCGCGGGGUGAGAGAGGGUCCGGCUGGCCCCGGGCUCUUCAGGCUACAUCACCCCCGCCACACUCUCGGCACUGUCCUGAGCCUUGUGCGUCUCCUGUUUGCUCUCCUCCUCAAAGCGAUUUGUUUUCUUAAGCUUUUUAUUUUGAGAUGGUCGUGGAUUCACAUGUGGUUGGAAGAAUAAUGCAGAGAAAUCCCAUGUACUCUUUGCCAAUUUCCCCCAGUGGUGACAUGUUAGGAGCCCACAGCGCAACGUCACAACCAGAAUAGUGACGCUGAUAGAGUUGAAUAUAGGAUAUU